rnacentral:rRNA from 1 species
CAUGCUUAACACAUGCAAGUCGAACGGUAACAGGCCUAGCUUGCUAGGUGCUGACGAGUGGCGGACGGGUGAGAAACGCGUAAGAAUCUGCCCUAUAGCGGGGGCGAACCUUGGGAAACUAAGGCUAAUACCGCAUACGACGGAGAGGGGCAAGGAUUCAGCCACUAUAGGAUGAGCUUGCGUCAGAUUAGCUAGUUGGUGGGGUAAAGGACUACCAAGGCGAAGAUCGGUAGCUGUUCUGAGAGGAUGAUCCGCCACACUGGGACUGAGACACGGCCCAGACUCCUACGGGAGGCAGGAGUGGGGAAUAUUGGACAAUGGGGGCAAGCCUGAUCCAGCCAUGCCGCGUGAGUGAUGAAGGCCCUAGGGUUGUAAAGCUCUUUUGUGCGGGAAGAUAAUGACGGUACCGCAAGAAUAAGCCCCGGCUAACUUCGUGCCAGCCGCCGCCGUAA